rnacentral:rRNA from 1 species
AACGUAGGUUCCGAGCGUUAUCCGGAUUUACUGGGCGUAAAGCGCGUUCAGGCGGUUUGGCAAGUCGGGCAUGAAAUCUCUCGGCUCAACCGGGAGAGGUUGUCCGAUACUUCCAGACUUGAGGGCAGUAGAGGGUGGUGGAAUUCCGGGUGUAGUGGUGAAAUGCGUAGAUAUCCGGAAGAACACCAGUGGCGAAGGCGGCCCGCUGGGCAGUGGCUGACGCUGAGGCGCGACAGCUAGGGGAGCAAACAGG